UUGCUGAUAACCAUAGUGUUCUCAUAUGUGCACCCGAGUUUUGUGAUAACUACUUACGUGAAAACAUGAAAAACUGCAAAAUUUAUUAUCAGUAUGUGGAUAUAGGGUUAAUUUAUAGUUUCUGGUUAAUAGGAAUUUGAUGGUAUGAAGAUAUUGCGGUUCGUGUUGGAAUUUGUUAAGUACAUCAACAUGUUGGAAAUCAGAUUCCUGUCCACUAUGAGUUGAAGCAUUGGACCUAGGAAUUUUUGUUCGAACGAUGCCAUAUCGGCAUAUCAUCUUGUAGGAAAGUAUUUCAAGGGGCUCAUGGGUGAGUAAGAUCCAUUUUUUACUUGGGAUAUUUUUUUCUGAAAUGUGUGUGUGAAAUGAUUGUAUGAUUAUUAUGCUUGCCUUAUACGAAUGUUUUAAGUUGCCAGUCCAUGGGACACGGGGUGUGAAAGUAAAUUUUAGUUAUGUGAUAUUAAACCUCUGUUUUUAAUAUCACACUACCAAACUUUACUUUAUUACUUUAUUUAAUAUUAUUUGACAGAAGCUUGCUCCCUAAAGAAAAUAGAAAAUCUAUGUCGGCCAACUUAGUAUUUGAAGAUGCAUAGAUUGCAAUUCAAUUA